UCCGGGUUGGACCCGGCGGUCCCGCCAGACAUGGUAACUGGCAGCGAGGGUUGCGCUCGUUGCGGGACUUAACCCAACACCUCACGACACGAGCUGACGACAGCCAUGCAGCACCUGUCACCGGUCCAGCCGAACUGAAGGAUACCAUCUCUGGUAACCGCGACCGGGAUGUCAAGGGCUGGUAAGGUUCUGCGCGUUGCUUCGAAUUAAGCAACAUGCUCCACCGCUUGUGUGAGCCCCCGUCAAUUUCUUUGAGUUUUAACCUUGCGGCCGUACUCCCCAGGCGGAUGACUUAACGCGUUAGCUGCGCCACCGAAACUCCAUGAGCCCCGACAGCUAGUCAUCAUCGUUUACGGCGUGGACUAC
rnacentral:misc_RNA from 1 species